rnacentral:rRNA from 1 species
UGUAAACCGAAGCUGCGGCAAUGUUCUUGGAACAUUGGGUAGGGGAGCGUUCUGUAAGCCGUUGAAGGUGUGUUGUAAAGCAUGCUGGAGGUAUCAGAAGUGCGAAUGCUGACAUGAGUAACGACAAAGGGGGUGAAAAACCUCCUCGCCGGAAGACCAAGGGUUCCUGUCCAACGUUAAUCGGGGCAGGGUGAGUCGACCCCUAAGGUGAGGCCGAAAGGCGUAAUCGAUGGGAAACGGGUUAAUAUUCCCGUACUUCUGACUAUUGCGAUGGGGGGACGGAGAAGGCUAGGUGGGCCAGGCGACGGUUGUCCUGGUUCAAGUGCGUAGGCUUGAGAGUUAGGUAAAUCCGGCUCUCUCUAAGGCUGAGACACGACGUCGAGCUGCUACGGCAGUGAAGUCAUUGAUGCCAUGCUUCCAGGAAAAGCCUCUAAGCUUCAGAUAGUCAGGAAUCGUACCCCAAACCGACACAGGUGGUCGGGUAGAGAAUACCAAGGCGCUUGAGAGAACUCGGGUGAAGGAACUAGGCAAAAUGGUACCGUAACUUCGGGAGAAGGUACGCUCUUGAUGGUGAA